CCUACGGGAGGCAGCAGUAAGGAAUAUUGGACAAUGGUCGCAAGACUGAUCCAGCCAUGCCGCGUGAAGGAUGAAGGCCCUAUGGGUUGUAAACUUCUUUUGUACGGGAAAAAACCCCUCUACGUGUAGAGGGCUGAUUGUACCGUAAGAAUAAGGAUCGGCUAACUCCGUGCCAGCAGCCGCGGUAAUACGGAGGAUCCAAGCGUUAUCCGGAUUCAUUGGGUUUAAAGGGUGCGUAGGCGGAAUGAUAAGUCAGUGGUGAAAGCCUGCAGCUUAACUGCAGAACUGCCAUUGAUACUGUCAAUCUUGAGUACAUUUGAUGUGGGCGGAAUGUGUCAUGUAGCGGUGAAAUGCUUAGAUAUGACACAGAACACCGAUUGCGAAGGCAGCUCACAAAACUGUAACUGACGCUGAGGCACGAAAGCGUGGGUAUCAAACAGGAUUAGAUACCCUGGUAGUCCACGCUGUAAACUAUGAUUACUCGAUGUUUGCGAUAUACUGUAAGCGUCUAAGCGAAAGCGAUAAGUAAUCCACCUUGGGGAGUUAGCUCGCAAGAGUGAAACUUAAAGGAAUUGACGGCUUGAGAGNGCGAGGACGACACGAGGAGAG
rnacentral:rRNA from 1 species